GAAUAAGGCAUGAACAUGCAUAUUGGGUUAUACUCAAAAUCUUGAUUAGAAAAUUUUAAAUAGUUUUGAAUUUGAUACACGAAAGUUAGGGAGAUGAUCUUUUUAAUCUAUAAAACAAAAAUGUUAUGAGUACUAAAAACAAAAACAAAAUAAGGUUGAAGGAUCAGAAAUGUGAUUAUCCUGAAAUAUAACAAAGGAGCCAACUUGGUUAAAAACAAGAAUGAAAUGGAAGCCAGAGCAAAUACAAAACCAUCAUCUCUCACUCUCAGAUGGGCAAUCUUACGCCAAGCCCUUCCUUCUUCGCAAAUCCCAUGAAAAUCCUGGUGCUUCCUUAAUCUCUCCCAACACGUCAAUUAUGACAUGUUUUUGUAACUUGAUUAGUUUUUGUAGCUUGUAUGUUAGUUUGGGAUUGAUUAGUUUUUGUAGCUUGUAUGUUAGUUUGGGACAAUGUCGAAAACCAAUUAUUUUGCAGAUAAUCAAUCACCCAGUGCUAUCAAGCGAAUUUCUAGAAAACCCAUCUAGGAUUUAACUUGAUACCAGGCCAAGCAGUUGAAGACCAUGUCAAUGAAGAAUCAAACUUUAUAGAUGUUUGCAUUUGUGGAGUUCAUCAUUUAUUCAGCUUCUUCAAGAAUGUUGAUUUUAAGAUAAGUUUAUCAUUUAUACAGAUUCUGGAAGACACUUUUGAUAGAACAUGGUUAUGUGGUUACAUUUGAUUUCAUAAUGGCAGUUGAUAUGCACCACAAUUGUUAGUUGUUUAACACGGUUUUGGAUUGGUGGGAAGACUGAAACUUGAAUACUUGUGGGAGAAAAUUUAAAUGGCAUGAGCAUCUUCUUUGUUAUCUUUGUUACUUUCACUAUAAAGGUGUUGUUAUCCAGGUCAGUGGCCAUCUGAAGAUGUCCUUUCAUAUUUUUGCUUGUCACAUGCAGACAUGUUCAGAUUUCAUGAUAAGUUAGGUUAACUUGGUAAGAUAUGAUGUGGGAAGUUUAGAUGGUUGAAUCUUUUCUAAACCUAAGGCAGUGGCGUGCUAUUGUCUGAUUGGGGUUAUUCAUUGAAUAAGAGUCAUAAGAAGAUUUCACGUCUGUACCACAUUGAAAAAUUAACAUGUCAAUUGGAAGCAUGUACAUAGAUUGUGGAAUUGAAGUCUGUUUGCAUUAUCUUCUGAGAAUUUCAAGUUGCCCAUGAUUCAAUAUAUACUUGUUUAGAUUUCAGUUAAUGUAAAGCUCUAAGUUUCUCAAAUUGUUAGUGAUGAGCCUAGAAUUGGUUUCAAGGCCUGCUCUAGUAAUCAGAAUAUGAAUCAGGUUGGACGGUCUUCAUCCUGGGCUAGCCCUUGCUUGCAUCUUCUUUAAGAUUUGAAGUUAUUGUAAACAUUUACUUUCUGUCAUUGAGAUUCAAGAUGUCUUACAUUGUUUUGUAUUUUCUCAUUUAUGAAAAGAAAGGUUAUUUGAAGAUAACAAUAGUGCUUUUGAAUAAAGUUUAAAUAUGUUUGUUUUUGGUGUGUCAAUUAGAGAUAUAAGGAUGCAUAAGUCAUCACAUAGCCAUAUCAGAGGCUUAGCUCUUUGGUUGUUGCUGGUCAUUAGCUUUGCAAUGGGAACAUCAGUUUAGAACUAAAUUUUUGUUGGGUUGCUGGGUUAUGAUUCAAAACUUUUAUAUUCACUUUGAGUAUGAGCGUGGCAUUGCUCCACUUUCUCUUUCUCUUUUAUGUUCUUUGACAUCCAGACAUUCAGCAUAGCAUAGAUGCCAGCUCCACAGCAUUUGGCAAUACAGAAUUGAAGAGUAUGACAUUGCAUUGGGAUGAGGAAGUAACUUAUAAUAUCUCCAACACUUUUGAUGUCAUAGUUGCCUGUGACUUCACCUUUUUUUGAAGAGUUCCACAGUGCCCUUGCUUGUACCGUCAAACUCUUGUUAAGAAAUUCUGGGCCUUUGGAAGCAAUAUUCUUUAGCCCUAAAAGAGGAGAUACGUUGGACAAACUCCUAAAGAAAGUUGAAGAAAAUGGGCUGAAUUUCUCUAUUAUAGAGAACUAUGACUCUGAAGUUUGGAAGUGUCAUCAAGGUUGUAUGGCCGGUGACGACUCCUGGCCCAGCUAUGAAAAGCAUCAUUGCUACCCGUUAUUUGUUAGAAUACAUUAUAAACUCUCGCGGCCUUUUAUUUUUCGUUCGUAUCCAGUAUUUUUAGGUAAAGGGUACUCCAUUUAUCUGUGUCAUGCAGCAGUAUGUAGCGGACUUUUUUUACUUGCUGGAUGCAGUAUAGUAGCCUACUAUAGUGGUGGGUCCGAAGUCCCUUAUAUUGUGCAAUCCUAGGAACUAAAUUGUGUGGGUCUGAUUGGUUGAUGAUUCGCCAACUGGAAAGGAAAGCCUGGAGAUGCCGUUUUUAAUAAUUAUUAUUAUUAUCUUGGCUUAACAUAAAGAUGCUGUUUUUGAUUGGCUUUA